rnacentral:rRNA from 1 species
CCUACGGGAGGCAGCAGUGAGGAAUAUUGGUCAAUGGGCGCGAGCCUGAACCAGCCAAGUAGCGUGAAGGAUGACUGCCCUACGGGUUGUAAACUUCUUUUAUAAGGGCAUAAAGUGAGGCACGUGUGCCUUUUUGUAUGUACUUUAUGAAUAAGGAUGGGGUAACUCCGUGCCAGCAGCCGCGGUAAUACGGAGGAUCCAAGCGUUAUCCGGAUUUAUUGGGUUUAAAGGGAGCGUAGAUGGGUUUUUAAGUCAGUUGUGAAAGUUUGCGGCUCAACCGUAAAAUUGCAAUUGAUACUGGAAGCCUUGAGUACAGUAGAGUUAGGCGGAAUUCGGGGUGUAGCGGUGAAAUGCGUAGAUAUCACGAAGAACUCCGAUUGCGAAGGCAGCUUACUAAACAGCCACUGACAUUGAUGCUCGAAAGUGUGGGUAUCAAACAGGAUUGGAUACCCUGGUAGUC